UACGUAGGGUGCUAUCGUUAAUCGGAAUUACUGCGCGUAAAGCGUGCGCCGGCGGUUUUGUAAGACAGAGGUGAAAUCCCCGGGCUUAACCUGGAAACUGCCUUUGUGACUGCAAGGCUUGAGUGCGGCAGAGCGGGAUGGAAUUCCGCGUGUAGCAGUGAAAUGCGUAGAUAUGCGGAGGAACACCGAUGGCGAAGGCAAUCCCCUGGGCCUGCACUGACGCUCAUGCACGAAAGCGUGGGGAGCAAACAGG
rnacentral:rRNA from 1 species